rnacentral:rRNA from 1 species
AUUGAACGCUGGCGGCAUGCUUUACACAUGCAAGUCGAACGGCAGCGCGGGGGCAACCCUGGCGGCGAGUGGCGAACGGGUGAGUAAUGCAUCGGAACGUAUCCUGUAAUGUGGGAUAACGUAGCGAAAGUUACGCUAAUACCGCAUACGCUCGAGAGAGGAAAGUGGGGGAUCGCAAGACCUCACGUUAUAGGAGCGGCCGAUGUCCGAUUAGCUAGUUGGUGGGUAAAGGCCUACCAAGGCGACGAUCGGUAGCUGGUCUGAGAGGAUGAUCAGCCACACUGGGACUGAGACACGGCCCAGACUCCUACGGGAGGCAGCAGUGGGGAAUUUUGGACAAUGGGCGAAAGCCUGAUCCAGCCAUGCCGCGUGCGGGAAGAAGGGCCUUCGGUUGUAACCGCUUUGUACGGAACGAAACGGUACCUUUCUAAUACGAGGGCGUAAUGACGGUACCGUAAGAAUAAGACACCGGCUAACUACGU